AUCCAUCUAACGAGUCCCAAAAUAAGACGAAACGUGCGUCCUUGAU
rnacentral:hammerhead_ribozyme from 1 species